AUCCAACUGAGGAGUCCCAAAUAGGAUGAAACGCUUUUCCUGGAA
rnacentral:hammerhead_ribozyme from 1 species